UACGUAGGGUGCAAGCGUUGUCCGGAAUUAUUGGGCGUAAAGAGCUCGUAGGCGGUUUGUUGCGUCGGCUGUGAAAUCCCGAGGCUCAACCUCGGGUCUGCAGUCGAUACGAGCAAACUAGAGUGUUGCAGGGGGAGACUGGAAUUCCUGGUGUAGCGGUGGAAUGCGCAGAUAUCAGGAGGAACACCGGUGGCGAAGGCGGGUCUCUGGGGCAGUAACUGACGCUGAGGAGCAAAAAGCGUGGGGGAGCGAACAGG
rnacentral:rRNA from 1 species